rnacentral:rRNA from 1 species
GAUGAACGCUGGCGGCGUGCUUAACACAUGCAAGUCGAGCGAGAAGUUUUGAAAAGAUUCUUCGGAUGAAAUUUAAAAUGGAAAGCGGCGGACGGGUGAGUAACGCGUAGGCAACCUGCCCCAUACAAAGGGAUAGCAUUUGGAAACGAAUAUUAAUACCUUAUGAAACUUAACUAGUGCAUGCUAGGUAGGUCAAAGAUUUAUCGGUAUGGGAUGGGCCUGCGUCUGAUUAGCUAGUUGGUGAGGUAACGGCUCACCAAGGCGACGAUCAGUAGCCGACCUGAGAGGGUGAACGGCCACAUUGGAACUGAGACACGGGCCAAACUCCUACGGGAGGCAGCAGUGGGGAAUAUUGCACAAUGGGGGAAACCCUGAUGCAGCAACGCCGCGUGAACGAUGAAGGCCUUUGGGUCGUAAAGUUCUGUUCUAGGUGAUGAAAACUGACAGUAACCGAGGAGAAAGCCCCGGCUAACUCCGUG